UACGGGGGGGGCAAGCGUUGUUCGGAAUUACUGGGCGUAAAGGGUUCGUAGGUGGCCAACUAAGUCAGACGUGAAAUCCCUCGGCUUAACCGGGGAACUGCAUCUGAUACUGGAUGGCUUGAGUUUGGGAGAGGGAUGCGGAAUUCCAGGUGUAGCGGUGAAAUGCGUAGAUAUCUGGAGGAACACCGGUGGCGAAGGCGGCAUCCUGGACCAACACUGACACUGAGGAGCGAAAGCCAGGGGAGCAAACGGG
rnacentral:rRNA from 1 species